UGAAUACGAGACGCUAAGGCGUUGAAGUAGUGUAUGUCAUACUUCCAAGAAAAGCUUGCACUGUCAUAGAUAAAAAACGCCUGUACCAUAACCGACACAGGUGGGUAGGUAGAGUAUACUAAGGGGCGCGAGAUAACUCUCUCUAAGGAACUCGGCAAAAUAACUCCGUAACUUCGGGAGAAGGAGUGCCUUAUUUAUAAGGCUGCAAUAACAAGAUCCAAGCAACUGUUUAUCAAAAACACAGGUCUCCGCUAAGUCGUAAGACGAUGUAUGGGGGCUGACGCCUGCCCAGUGCCAGAAGGUUAAAGAAGUUGGUUAGCAAUAGCGAAGCUGAUAACUGAAGCCCUGGUGAACGGCGGCCGUAACAAUAACGGUCCUAAGGUAGCGAAAUUCCUUGUCGGGUAAGUUCCGACCCGCACGAAAGGCGUAAUGAUUUGGAUACUGUCUCGGAGAGGGGCUCGGUGAAAUAGACUUGUCUGUGAAGAUGCGGACUACCUGCACCAGGACAGAAAGACCCUAUGAAGCUUUACUGUAACUUGAAAUUGAAAUUGGACUUUAUUCGCGCAGUAUAGGUGGGAGGCGUUGAUUGUAAUCUUGCGGGAUUAUUGGAGCCAUCAGUGAGAUGCCACCCUUGUAAUGUUAGAUUUCUAACUUUGAAUCAUUAUCUGGUCAAAGAACAGUUUCAGGCGGGCAGUUUGACUGGGGCGGUCGCCUCCUAAACGGUAACGGAGGCGUACAAAGGUUUCCUCUGAACGGUUAGAAAUCGUAUCUAGAGUGUAAAGGCAUAAGGAAGCUUGACUGUGAGACCUACAAGUCGAGCAGGGACGAAAGUCGGUCUUAGUGAUCUGACGGUACUGAGUGGAAAGGCCGUCACUCAACGGAUAAAAGUUACUCUAGGAUAACAGGCUGAUCUCCCCCAAGAGUUCACAUCGACGGGGAGGUUUGGCACCUCGAUGUCGGCUCAUCGCAUCCUGGGGCGGUAGUACGUCCCAAGGGUUGGGCUGUUCGCCCAUGAAAGCGGUACGCGAGCUGGGUUCAGAACGUCGUGGGACAGUUCGGUCCAUAUCCGGUGUAGGCGUUAGAAUAUUGAGAGGAGCCUUCUUUAGUACGAGAGGACCGAGAAGGACAUACCUCUGGUGUACCAGUUAUCGUGCCAACGGUAAACGCUGGGUAGCUGUGUAUGGAGUGGAUAACCGCUGAAAGCAUCUAAGUGGGAAGCCCACCUCAAGAUAAG
rnacentral:rRNA from 1 species